rnacentral:rRNA from 1 species
CCUACGGGAGGCAGCAGUGAGGAAUAUUGGUCAAUGGGCGUAAGCCUGACCCAGCCAAGUCGCGUGAGGGCUGAAGGUUCUAUGGAUCGUAAACCUCUUUUAUAAGGGAAUAAAGUGCGGGACGUGUCCCGUUUUGUAUGUACCUUAUGAAUAAGGAUCGGCUAACUCCGUGCCAGCAGCCGCGGUAAUACGGCGUAUCCGAGAGUUAUCCGGAUUUAUUGGGUUUACAGGGUCCGUAUGCGGCCUUUUAAGUCAGCGGUGAAAGUCUGUGGCUCAACCAUAGAAUUGCCGUUGAAACUGGGAGUCUUGAGUAUGUUUGAGGCAGGCGGAAUGCGUGGUGUAGCGGUGAAAUGCUUAGAUAUCACGCAGAACCCCGAUUGCGAAGGCAGCCUGCCAAGCCAUGACUGACGCUGAUGCACGAAAGCGUGGGGAUCAAACAGGAUUAGAUACCCCAGUAGUC